GCCGCACCAUCUAGCUGCCUCCUCUGCAUAAGGCUGUCUAUUUCGCCCACUCCGUGCGCCGCUGAGUUGGAAUCGCAGAUUCUAUGAUGGCUGAUCCCUCAGGUUCUCUACCCCGAAAAAUAGCUUGAUUUCGCGCCUUCCAUAUAGACCACAACACAACAGCUACCAAGUGCAAGUUUGGAGAGAUCGCUCCAUACCUGUCUUGUCCACGGACAUAAUAAGAAGAGAUGUUCCACCGUCUCUCUUUCAUGAUUGCAUAGAGGACAUAUGGGAUCAGAUAUUUGCUCUACCACUGGGUCGAAGUUCCGAGGACCAUAUGACUGGUAUAACUUCAUGAAAAACUGCACGG